UGAUAUAGCUUAGUGGUACAGCACCUGUCUGGAAAGCAUGAAGCCCUGUGUUCAAUCCCUGGUAUCA
rnacentral:tRNA from 1 species